rnacentral:rRNA from 1 species
UGCUAAUACCGCAUAAAAACUUUAAACACAAGUUUUAAGUUUGAAAGAUGCAAUUGCAUCACUCAAAGAUGAUCCCGCGUUGUAUUAGCUAGUUGGUGAGGUAAAGGCUCACCAAGGCGAUGAUACAUAGCCGACCUGAGAGGGUGAUCGGCCACAUUGGGACUGAGACACGGCCCAAACUCCUACGGGAGGCAGCAGUAGGGAAUCUUCGGCAAUGGACGAAAGUCUGACCGAGCAACGCCGCGUGAGUGAAGAAGGUUUUCGGAUCGUAAAACUCUGUUGGUAGAGAAGAACGUUGGUGAGAAGUGGAAAGCUCAUCAAGGGACGG